GACGGAGGAUGCAAGUGUUAUCCGGAAUCACUGGGCGUAAAGCGUCUGUAGGUGGUUUAAUAAGUCAACUGUUAAAUCUUGAGGCUCAACCUCAAAAUCGCAGUCGAAACUAUUAGGCUAGAGUAUAGUGAGGGGUAAAGGGAAUUUCCAGUGGAGCGGUGAAAUGCGUAGAGAUUGGAAAGAACACCGAUGGCGAAGGCACUUUACUGGGCUAUUACUAACACUCAGAGACGAAAGCUAGGGUAGCAAAUGGG
rnacentral:rRNA from 1 species